UACGUAGGGGGCUAGCGUUGUCCGGAAUCAUUGGGCGUAAAGCGCGUGUAGGCGGCCCGGUAAGUCCGCUGUGAAAGUCGGGGGCUCAACCCUCGAAAGCCGGUGGAUACUGUCGGGCUAGAGUACGGAAGAGGCGAGUGGAAUUCCUGGUGUAGCGGUGAAAUGCGCAGAUAUCAGGAAGAACACCUAUGGCGAAGGCAGCUCUCUGGGACGGUACUGACGCUGAGACGCGAAAGCGUGGGGAGCGAACAGG
rnacentral:rRNA from 1 species